AAGGUCACGGCAAGACGAGCCGUUUAUCAUUAUGAUAGUUGUCAAGUGUAAGUACAGUUAUGUAUGCAGCUGAGGCAUCCUAACAGACCAAUAGAUUUGAACC
rnacentral:rRNA from 1 species